CUCUAGAUGUUGCUGAACUACAACUCCCAUGAUUCUAGGAAUUAAAUGGGCUGAGCAUCAUGGGAGUUGUAGUUCAGCAACAUCUGGAG
rnacentral:miRNA from 1 species